UCUGCCUACAGCAGAAAAUUAUUUGAGGAUGUAACAAAGCACAUUGAUGAAUGUAGAGCAAUGGAUGUAGUGUACAUGGAUUUCAGUAAGGCAAUUGAUCAGCUUCCCCAUGCAAGGUUCCACCAGAAAGUAAGGAAACAUGGGAUACAAGGAGACCUUGCUAUGUGAAUUGAGAAUAGGCUUGCCAACAGAAAGGAAAGGGUGGUUGGAUAGUUCAUACUUUGCAUGGAGGUUGGUGACCAGUGGUGUUCUGCAGGGAUCUGUUCUUGGACCCAUUCUCUGUGAUUUUUAUAAAUGGUCUAGAUGAAGUAGGGGGGGGGGGGUUAGUAAGUUUGCUAAUGACACAAUGGUCGGGGCUGUUUUGGAUAGUCUGAACGGUUGUCAGAGGUUACAGUGGAAUAUUGAUGGGAUGCAGACCUGGUCUGGGAAGUGGCAGAUGGACUUCAAUCCAGAUAAGUGUGGAGUGGUUCAUUUUGGUAGCUCAAAUUUGAAGACAGAAUACAAUGUAAAUGGCAAGACUCUUCUCAGUGUGGAGGAUCUGAGAGAUCUUUGGGUCUGUGUUGAAAGGACUGUCGAAGCUGCUUUUCAGCUUGACAGUGCUGUUAGGAAGGCAUAUGGUGUGUUGGCUUUCAUGAACCAUGGCACUGAGUUCAAGAGCCAUGAGAUAAUGUUAGAGCUAUACAAGACCUUGGUCAGCCCCCACUUGGAGUACUGAGUUCAGUUCUGGUUAUCUCACUACAGGAAGGAUGUGGAUACUACAGAGAGCGCAGAGGAGAUUUGGAAAGAUGUUGCCUGGAAUGGAGGGAGUACCUUAUGAGUAUAUUGGAGAAUAAAGUUGCAUUGUUUGCUGUGUAACCAAAACUAUGUAACCAGCUUUGUGUUUGCUAUUUGCUAUGCAUGUAUCUAAUUUAGUAGGAGAAUGUAAUCUCUGUAUUGUCUCUGUACUAUUGAACACAUUAGUGUCCCAAGAAUGUAGCUAACAGUGAGAAACCAGCCUUAUAUUUACUAUGUAUCCAACUUAUUAGCCAGAAUGAAAUCUCUGUAUUGUCUCUGUACUAUUGAACACAUUAGUGUCCUAAGAAUGUAGCUAACAGUGAGAAACCAGCCUUAUAUUUACUAUGUAUCCAACUUAUUAGCCAGAAUGUAAUCUCUGUAUUGUCUCUGUACUAUUGAACACAUCAGUGCCUUGAGAAUGUAGCUAACAGUGAAAGUAAGCAAUGUAGAGAUAACGGUGGUAGACGGGAUCGUGGAGCGGUGUGAUGGUAUGGGGACCAGUCAAAGCCAGGAAGGGGGACACGUGUUCCAAGGAGUAGACUAGAGCAAGAAUGGGCUACUGAGCAGAAAUAUUGGUGGCGAACGGAGGAGCUAAUGUGCUGGUGAUAAGCAUUGCAAGUGGAUAGGGUAUGCUAAUGUGACUGAGAUAGGAGACGGGGUAUGCUGAUUCGACUAAGAUAAGAAAUUACCAUAAAGAAUACUGUGAACUAGGGUUCGGCGGACAAUUAGUGACACACUCAUUAAUUGUCUCAGCUUUUGUUUGCAAAUAAAGGCUUAAACUUCUCGAAGAAUCUUCUGCGUCUCCUGGUUAUUUCAAGAAACCACGACAAAAAUUGAUGACCGCGGCAAGACCGGGAAGAGACUCACGGAAAGGAAACGGCAGAUUGGGGACGCUUCCCGGUCCUCUAGGGACCCCCACAGGGCUAACAGAAUUAAAGGUGCACCCAAACAAAAGGCUCCGGAGUGACUACCUGCCUACGUCUCCUCUGUAUCAGCUCCUCACUCUGACUGACCAGAUGAAGGUCAUCGAGCUGCAUCUCCAUUUCCUCAACAUGGUCUCUAAGGAGCUGCAGUUCGACACACCCGGUGCAAAUGUGGCUGUUCAGGAGGCUGGGAAUCUCCUGGAUCUCCUACAACUGACACCGAGCACAGAAAUCUGGCCUCACACACAUACUUUCUGUCUGUAUUCUACACAGGCUCCGGAGUGACUACCUGCCUACGUCUCCUCUGUAUCAGCUCCUCACUCUGACUGACCAGAUGAAGGUCAUCGAGCUGCAUCUCCAUUUCCUCAACAUGGUCUCUAAGGAGCUGCAGUUCGACACACCCGGUGCAAAUGUGGCUGUUCAGGAGGCUGGGAAUCUCCUGGAUCUCCUACAACUGACACCGAGCACAGAAAUCUGGCCUCACACACAUACUUUCUGUCUGUAUUCUACACAGGUAACCUACCUCGCCUCGACCCGUUAUCGUCAAAGCCCCAUUGAGCCAAAGCCUUCCUAGUCUGUCUCCUUCUUCUCUGAUGUUGAAUCUGUCUUCUUUUUAAACUCUUCUCGCUGUUUUCACUGGCUGACAUCCAUGCGUUUGUGCAGUCGUGCCCCGUUCAAACCGCUGAAGAAAUAACCAGUUGCUGCAGAUGUGGGCACCAAAAACCACAAUGGGGUCCACCAGCUCCCACAUCAUGUAGCUACAACACAUCUCCUGAUCCUGCAUUAUCCCUACUUUAUUUAAUUAGCUGUAAUUUAGUGACUUUUAUUCAACCACAACAACAGUCUUACCUGAUACUGACCUGUCCCUCCCUGUCGGAGCCUCGUGAGCCAAAACCUCAAGUUCCCAUUCCUACACUGGUCCACUCACACAAUGGGCGUUCUGCUUUGACCCUGCUUUACUCUCAUUUGCUCCUGCUAAUAUAUCCUGAAUCAAUUGGUCCACCACUAAUGUGCUGAGCCCUGCAAAUGCUCUUUUUUAAAACUCUUCUCCCCGACCUGUCCAAAGCUUCCUCUCAAUCUGUGAAUCAAUUGUUCCUCCGCUAAUAGAACAUAGAAUAGUACAGCACAUUACGGGCCCUUUGGCUCACAAUGUUGUGUUGACCCUCAAACACUGCCUCAUAUAUAACCUCCACACCUUACAUUCCUCCAUAUACUUGUCUAGUAGUCUCUUAAACUUCACUAGUGUGUCUGCAUCCACCACUGACUCAAGCAGUGCAUUCCACGCACCAACCACUCUCCGAGUGAAAAACCCUCCUCUAAUAUCCCCCUUGAACUUCCAUCCCCUUACCUUAAAGCCAUGUCCUCUUGUACUGUGCAGUGGUGCCCUGGGGAAGAGGUGCCGGCUGUCCACUCUGUCUAUUCCUCUUAAUAUCAUGUCCAUCUCUAUCAUGUCUCCUCUCAUCCUCCUUCUCUCCAAAGAGUAAAGCCCUAGCUCCCUUAAUCUCUAAUCAUAAUCCAUACUCUCUAAACCAGGCAGCAUCCUGGUAAAUCUCCUCUGUACCCUUUCCAAUGCUUCCACAUCCUUCCUAUACUGAUGCGACCAGAAAUGGACACAGUACUCCAAGUGUGGCCUAACUAGAGUUUUUUAGAGCUGCAUCAUUACAUCACGUCUCUUAAACUCUAUACCUCGACUUAUGAAAGCUAACACCCCAUAAGCUUUCUUAACUACCCUAUCUACCUGUGAGGCAACUUUCAGGGAUCUGUGGACAUGUACCCCCAGAUCCCUCUGCUCCUCCACACUACCAAGUAUCCUGUCAUUUACUUUGUAUUCUGCCUUGGUCCUUCCAAAGUGUACCACCUCACACUUCUCCGGGUUGAACUCCAUCUGCCACUGCUCAACCCACUUCUGCAUCCUAUCAAUGUCUCUGCAAUCUUCAACAAUCCUCUACACUAUCAACAACACCACCAACCUUUGUGUCGUCUGCAAACUUGCCAACCCACCCUUCUACCCCCACAUCCAGGUCAUUAAUAAAAAUCACGAAAAGUAGAGGUCCCAGAACAGAUCCUUGUGAGACACCACUAGUCACAACCCUCCAAUCUGAAUGUACUCUCUCCACCACAACCCUCUGCCUUCUGCAGGCAAGCCAAUUCUGAAUCUACCUGGCCAAACUUCCCUGGAUCCCGUGCCUUCUGACUUUCUGAAUAAGCCUACGUGUGGAACCUUGUGAAAUGCCUUACUAAAAUCCAUGUAGAUCACAUCCACUGCACUACCCUCAUCUAUAUGCCUGGUCACCUCCUCAAAGAACUCUAUCAGGCUUGUUAGACACGAUCUGCCCUUCACAAAGCCAUGCUGACUGUCCUUGAUCAGACCAUGAUUCGCUAAAUGCCCAUAGAUCCUAUCUCUAAGAAUCUUUUCCAACAGCUUUCCCACCACAGACGUAAGGCUGACUGGUCUAUAAUUACCCGGACUAUCCCAACUACCUUUUUUGAACAAGGGGACAACAUUCACCUCCCUGCAAUCCUGCGGUACCAUUCCUGUGGACAACGAGGACAUAAAGAUCCUAGCCAGAGGCUCAGCAAUCUCUUCCCUCACCUCGUGGAGCAGCCUGGGGAAUAUUCCAUCAUGCCCCAGGGACUUAUCCAUCCUAAUGUAUUUUAACAACUCCAAUACCUCCUCUCCCUUAAUAUCAACAUGCUCCAGAACAUCAACCUCACUCGUAUUGUCCUCACCGUCAACAAGUUCCCUCUCAUUGGUGAAUACCAAAGAGAAGUAUUCAUUGAGGACCUCGCUCAUUUCCACAGCCUCCAGGCACAUCAUCCCACCUUUAUCUCUAAUCAGUCCUACCUUCACUCCUGUCAUUCUUUUGUUCUUCACGUAAUUGAAGAAUGCAGAUUUGAUGAGCCAAAUGGCAUUAUUCUGUUCCUAUACCGUGUGGUUUAUUACAGAAAAUAUGUUAUGAGGAAAGAUUGAGCAAACUAGAGCUUCUUGGAGAAAAGGAGAUGAGAGGUGGCUGGAUAGAGGUGUAUAAGAGGCAGUAGAGUGAAGACACAGUGCUGUUUUUCCAUGGUGGAGUAAGUUAAUAUGAGAGGGCAUAAUUUUAUUGUGAUUGGAGGAACGUAUAGGGAGGGGAGAUCAGAUGUAGUUUUUUGACACCGAGAGAGGAGGGUGGGUAAGGAACUACAACAGCAGUACUGGACAGACUGCAGGAAGAAAGACAUUUCCCUGGCUUAGAGUCUCGAGACAGGGCUUUACAUGGUCAGAAUACGGUUAGGACAAAAAUGAAGAAAAAUUUUUCACCCAGAGGGUGGGGAAUUGGCAGAAUUCUCUGCCUCAGAGGGCUUUGGAGAUUCAGAGUACCACACACAGAAUGCUGAUGGAAUUCAGCUGGUCAGGCAGCAUCUAUGAAAAUGAAUCACCAGCUGAUGAUUCAGACCAAGAACCUUCAUCAUGACCUGACAUAUCAACUCUUUAUUCAUUUCCAUGGAUUCUGCCUGACCUGCUGAGUUCCUUCAGCAUUUUGUGAGUGGGUACUGACAGAUGUUUUAUGCUCUUACCUUUAGUAGUAGCAACUAUUAGGAUGGAGUGAAGUUCAUACAAAGGACCAAUUCUGCAUUUAUUAUGCUCACUCUGUUCAUGAGACCAACAAACUUUUGAUUAGUUGAACUUGCAUCAGGCCUAUUUACAUUGAGAGUGUAGCUGUCUUUAGGGAACGUCAAAAUUCCAUCCUCUGCCACCCUUCCUCAAGAUUUCAGACCAUCUUCAAUCCCAAUGCCUGUCCUAACACCCCUCAGUAUCCAGAGCUGAAUCUCCAAAUCAGCAACACAAGAGGUUCUACAGAUACUAGAAAUCCAGAGUAACACACACAAGAUGCAGGAUGGGGAAUAAGCAGUUGACAUUUCGGUCUGAGAUGCUUUAACAGGACUAGACAACUAUUCUGGUUACCCUUUUACCUCUUCUGCUCACCUGUCUAUCAGCUCUCUCUUGUGCCCUUUCUCCUAUCGUCGACUCUCCUCUCCUAAUAGAUUACUUUAUCUUCAGCCCUUUCACUUCUUCCCCUUCAAGAGGACCACAACCUUGUCCUGGUUUGGAGGCUUGUGUGCCUCAAUGACUCAGACAACUAUGUUGGCUGGAGUCAGGGCUACCUGCUUUGGCUCUUGGGAGGGUUACCCAAGCCAGACAGGACAGAGGAUAGAGGAUUGACUAAGAGUGGUCCAGUGGUCCUCCAGGUUAAGGGGCUCAGCUCAGGGCGAACAACCCUAACUGGUAGAACAAAAUUGUUACAGGAACAGCAGUGAAGAAUCCUUCUACAUCUGAGUAUGGCAGUAUUCCUGAGUCUCCACCUGGGACUUGCAUGACUGACAGUAGUGAAAACUGAGAAGAAGAUGCUGACAUGAUGAAGGAAGCCCUGAAUACCACCGGAGAUAGGGGACCUGCCCUAAACUCAGCAACGUACAGGCAGCAAUCUAAUCUUUACCUCUUCCAGCUAUCACCUACUAUUUUCUUAUGUCAUUCCCCCAUAUCCUAACCAGCCACCCACUUGCCCCCUCACCUGGUUUCACCUAUCACCUGCCACCUUGUACUCCUUCCCCACGACCCUCUUCCUCAUCCUGGCUUCUUCCCCCUUCCUGUCCAGUCCUGAUUAAGUGUCUUGAUUCAAAAUGUUAAUUGUCUGUUCUCCACAGCGGAAUAAGCCACUUUUUGGGCUGAGAUCCUUCAUCGAGGCUAGAAAGGAAGGGUAGAAGCCAGAAGAAGAAGUCAAGGAAGAGAAGGAGUACAAGGUGACAGGUGAGACCAGGUGAGGGAAUGAAGGAAGAAGCUGGGAGGGGAUAAGUGGUUGAAAUAAAGGGCUGAAGAAGAAGGAAUUUUAGUCUGGCUUCUGUCCUUUUCCUUUCCAGUCCUAAUAAUAAGACAUUAUCAGGAUUAUUCCCCUGGUGAAGUGCAGUAAACAAUGUCCAUACAAUAGACAAUAUAAGUUUAGAACGGGCAGUUGACCAAUGAGACUAUAAGGGAUUUGUCACUCUGAACCAAGAAAUGCAAAAUCUUUGAUUGGUGACCUUGUGGAACAGAAUGGCUCUAGACUACGUAUUAGCCUGGGAAGGAGGGGUCUGUGCGUUAGUGGGGAAAGAAUGUUGCACAUAUGUACCCGAUGCUUCAGAAAAUAUGACCCAUGUGUUAGAACAUAUGACCCAGCUAUGAGAUGAAAUACAUAGACUGAACUCUCAAGCCCCUUCAGAAGGCUGGGAUUUUUUUAGCUAAUGUUAGGUCAGUGUUAGGCGAAGGAAUAUUUUCUGGGUUGCAGCCCCUCUUUUACGGCCUCAUUGCCCUGGUCAGCUUAGCGGUGGUAGUUCAUUGUGUCAUACAACUAUGCAUUCCCUGGGUCUGCGCCUGCACAAAGUCAAAGUCAGGGGAGACGGUAGCAUUACUCUAUGCACAAUCUCACCACGGAAGAGGAUAGUUACAAUGAAGAGGAAUAUUUAAGAAUGCACCCUUACCCAGUGGGUUAUGGGCCCCCUUUUCAGAACGAAGGGAAUACGAAUCUUUAAGUGUUGAUAAGAAAGAUCAACAAAGAGGGAUUUGUGGUGGAAAUGGUUAAAACUAGUGUAUGAUGGGAUACUUAGCCAUUCUGGAGCAGUUGGACUUAAGACUGCUGAUGCAUGUCAAGAAUAACCUUGGAUGAUAAUCACAACAUCAGGAAAUCAAAUAGACAGGAUAUGAAGCCCAUGGAACCAGGAAGGAGGAUGCAUCCGGGAAUAAAUUCUGAGUCCUGAUAACUAAAAAUAAAGAGGAUUGUUAGACUCGCGCUGAGAGACAAUUGACAUAAAUUUUCAACAAUUGAUCAUCUACUAUCUGUGGGAUACUGAACAAAAUCAUGUGAAAGUUGUUUGUCUUGCUGAAUAAAUAUGAGCACCGUAUAACCCAAAAAAUCAGAGCUCUGUUGGUGGUGUAGACUGCUGCAGACACUCCAUAAUAUCAUGUUAGUAAGUUCUUAAAAUGAAACUUGAAGUCACUCUGGAGUUCUUACUUAGUAUCUUCAUGACAGGCACUUUAUCUGAAUGCCUUUAGUAUUCAAAGUAAGGUCAGUGAAAUUAUGGCAUAAAUCAGUACAAAGGGGUAUGAUGUAGUGGCCGUUACAGGAAUGUGGUUGCAGGGUGGAGAGGGUGGGAAGUAAAUAUGCAAGGCUAUCAGGUAAUACAAAUGGAUAAGCAGGAAGGAAAGGGAGGUGGGGUAGCGCUCUUAAUUAAGGAUGAGAUCAAGGCAAUAGUGAGAGAUGAUACAAGCCCACAAUGCUGUGCCGAACAUGUACUUGCAUUAGAAAUUACCUCGGGUUAGCCAUAGCCCUCUAACUUUCUAAGUUCCAUGUACCUAUCCAGGAGCUUCUUAAAAGCCCUGUUGUAUCCACACCCACCACAGUCACCAGCAGUCCAUUCCACGAACUCAUCUCUCUGCGUAAGAAAAAACUUACCCCUGACAUCCCCUCACCUUAAAACUGUGCCCUCUCGUGUUAGUCAUUUCAUCCCUGGGAAAAAGCCUCUGCCUAUCGACACAGUCAAUGCCUAUCAUCACCUUAUACACCUCUAUCAGGUCACAUCUCAUCCUACAUCACUCCAAGGAGAGAAGGCCAAAUUCCCUCAACCUAUUUUCAUAAGGCAUGCUCCCAAAUCCAGGCAACAUCCUUUUAAAUCUCCUUUGCAUCCUUUCUAUAUUUCCACAUCCUUCCUGUAGUCAGAUGACCUAGAAUUGAUCACAGUACUCCAAGUGAGGUCUGACUAGGGUCCAGUAUAGCUGUAACAUUAUCUCUCAGCUCUUGAAGUCAUUUCCACAGUUAAUGAAGGCCAAAACACCGUAUGCCUUCUUAACCACAUAGUUAACUUGUGAGGCAGCUUUGAGUGUCCUAUGGAUUCGGACCCCAAGAUCCCUCUGAUCCUCCACACUGCCAAAAGUCUUACCAUUAAUACUAUAUUCUGCCAUCAUAUUUGACCUACCCAAAUGAACCACCUCUGAGUUGAACUCCAUCUGCCACUU